rnacentral:rRNA from 1 species
CUACAACUCAACUGUACAAAGAGCUGCUGUUCUGAAAUCGAUGGGCACACUGACGGGGGGAUAUGUGGUGAACACUCUCCAUUUCCUUGCCAGCGGGUUAUAAACAUGAAACUCCAAAGCCAGCCUCUUCUUUAACUGCCUCCGAGGAUGGAGGGUUUCGGCAGGAAGUUUGGCAGAUUUAAGCACAUGCAGUUCACCGUUCAAUGAUACGAAGCCACACAGAUCAGUCUCUGGGAUCUUUCUCCUCAAAGUAGCCUCCUUCGACCACCCGUUUGA